rnacentral:lncRNA from 1 species
GGAAAUUGGUUUCUUAAAAUGUGUGUCACCUUACUUCACUGUUCAUUCAAUAUGGCAACUCAACCAGGGAAGAUCGACCUGUACAAAUAUUAUAUACAUUUUGGGUUAAAAUUAUAAUAAAAACAAGUUUGAAACUCUAACCAUGGAGGAGUUUGAAUUUUGAACUUCCCAAAUUCAUAUAUAAAACGAGAUUAAACUGGACAGGAAUGUCAGUGCAAAAUAUAUAACCAUUUAAGAGUACAUAUCAACUGAACAAAAUCCAAUUCCUCCUUUUUCAUGUAUACAGUUUGUAGAAGAUCUUCGUCUGGUUAGUCAAAGCUAAGUACGCAGCUUAGAUUUGGACUAAACACCCCCAGACAAACACUAUCUAAAACAAAACCCAUCAGGACUACCACCGGCAGUGGUCAUUCAUGUCCUAAACAAGUCACUCCCAAACACACAUAAUUAUCGACUUAUAGCUCCCAGACCGAAACAGAACAUCUGCAUAUAGAUCAUGAUUAAUUUACAUAUUCAACCCAGUCGACUAGAGAUUUCAUAUAAUGGAGGAGUGCUCGCAUGCAUCAUGUUUAAUUAUCAACAUGUAGCUCUCAGACACAAACAUAACACUCACAGACACCCACAAGUCAAGCCAGGUUUAUAUUUUGAACCCAGUUCAUUUAAGCUUUCAUAUAACGGAACCGAUACAACGACGAACCGCAAGUAAAUGAUUGUAUCCAACGUGUUGAGAAGUGUGAACAAAAUGGCAUCAAAUCCUCAAGUAAUCCUUUAAAAGGAGAAUGACUAGAAUGAUUCAAGUCCUACUGGGGUUUCAGUUGAGAAAGACGGUUGGUUCUGGUGACAAUUGUGAAUGUAACAUGAAAAAUCACAAUUCGUCCACUCAGCACUGGUUGUCAGUACAGUAGGCUAGAAGAUAAGAGCUAAUUGAAUUUUGUGUACCUUCACCGAAGAAGGGAACAAUUUUGAAACUCGUUCAAAAACUUCAUAUUUCGAUACCAGAGUAUUACAGACACGACAUGUAACAACAUAAAAAUUCAGAAAAUAAAUUUGAGCUAUUGGCCUCAGAAUUGCAGAAUGACAACAAAGCUUCAAACAAGCUAUUCAGUCCCAAAAGAUUGUAAUACAGGAGGCUAGAAGAUAAGAGCUAUUUGAUAAACUUAUAUAUUUAUAUGCAUACAAGACCAUCACAGACUAUGAAUUUUGAGUACCUUCACCGAAGAAGGGAAUAAUUUUGAAACUUGUUCAAAAACUUCAUAUUUCGAACCGAGAGUAUUACAGACACGACACGUAACAAUAUAAAAAUUCAGAAAGUAAAAUCGAGCUUUUGGCCUGAGAAUUGCAGAAUGACAGCAAGGCUUCAAACAAGCCAUUCAGUCCCAAAAGAUUGUAAUACAGGAAGGCUAGAAGAUAAGAUCUAUUUGAUAAACUUAUAUAUUUAUAUGCAUACAAGAACAUCAAAGACUAUGAUGUUCGAACCCAGAGUAUUACAGACACUUGACAUAUAACAACAUAAAAAUUCAGAAAGUAAAUUUGAGAUUUUGGCCUCAGUAUUGCAGAAUGACAGCAAGGCUUGAACAAGCCAUUCAGUCCCAAAAGAUUGUAAUACAGGAGAUAAGAGCUAUUUGAUAAACUUAAAAUGAGUACCUUCACUGAAGAAGGGAAUAAUUUUGAAACUUGUUCAAAAACUUCAUAUUUCGAACCCAGAGUAUUACAGAUAUGACAUAUAACAACAUAAAAAUUCAGAAAGUAAAUUUGAGAUUUUGGCCUCAGAAUUGCAAAAUGACAACAAAGCUUCAAACAAGCUAUUCAGUCCCAAAAGAUAGUUAAUACAGGAGGCUAGAAGAUAAGAGCUAUUUGAUAAACUUAUAUAUUUAUAUGCAUACGAGAACAUCACAGACUAUGAAUUUUUGUGUACCUUCACUGAAGAAGGGAAUAAGUUUGAAACUUGUUCAAGAACUUUAUAUUUCGAUCCCAAAGUAUUACAGACACUGACAUAUAACAAUAUAAAAAUUCAGAAAGUAAAUUUGAGAUUUUGGCCUCAGAAUUGCAGAAUGACAGCAAGGCUUCAAACAAGCCAUUCAGUCCCGAAAGAUGGUAUUCUUGAGAUUGAUUUCAUCACAAGCCACAAACAAGCUUACCACAAAUUCAAAAACCCAGAAACCGAAAUGGAGAUUAAAAACUUUUUGGAAUGUAAAUGAAUCAAAUGUGUGUCUCAUGGCCAGUCCCAAGAGGUAAAAGCAGCAUCCUGCUCCACAAGGCGAUGGAAUAUGAGACCACCCAUUAAUGGAGGAGCUCCCGGAAGAGGGAGGACCGUCAACAUCAACAGGCUUCCGUCUGUGACGUUUCCCUUUGGGCUUUACAAACAUUUAAAUGGUUUGCCCCAUUGAAAGGAAAGGAUCUCUAUGAGAUCCCCGUCAAUAUUACUUUCUGAAAAAAUCAAUCUAAAAAAAAAAAAAAGAACUCUGCAACCAUAGUAAAAAUGUGCUUUGGAUUUUUUUCGAAGGCCUCAGAGAUCUUGGUGGUUAAGAAAUCAUCAAAUGGAGUUGUCUCCAUCAAGAGUAGCAAAUAUUUUUCUCACAUCAUCGGCUCCAAUAACAUUUAAAUAAAAUUAGAAACAUCAAACUCUUCUUCAAAGAUUGAUUUUCAAAACUGUUUUUUUUAUUUAAAAAAAAAAGAAAAGAAAGAGAGAAAGCAUGACCAGUCAGAAGUAGCUAGUUGUGAUCUCAUCUUCUUCUUAAAGAAUAAUCAAUGGGAAUCCGUCUGAUUCUUAUCAUCACACUGCAUCAUGCCUCCUUUUAAAUCAAAUUUAGCAAUCUUCAAUAAAAAACAAAGAGAUAAAACAGAAUUUGAAAUGUGUCUACCUUGUCACCGAAAAUUCCUAUAGAGGAAUAUCAGAGCUGAAGGUAGAGUAUACAUACAGAGGUGAGUAUGCAUACAGGAAAACCCGUUCCUAUUGCCUAACGAUAGAUUCCUUCAUCUACUGUAACAACAGAUCAAAGAAUUGCAAUUUUAGGCGUAAAUAUACAGACCCAAAUUAUGAACAACGAAACCAGAAACCAUUUAAUCAAGAGAGAAAACAGAUCACCGUAGCGCCGGUUUCUUCAUCUUCGAUUAGAAACCCUAGAACAACACCAUUACAUUUGCACGCGGCUGGUUGAGCACCCUGCACCCUACCUAACGCACCGCCUCCUAUGUAUAUAUAUAGAGAAAAGAGCGCAGAGGCACUAAAAAAAAAACCCUAGUUCUUAAACCUUCGCUUGCAGCGGGGGUGGAAUCUUUAAGAGCUUCCGUCCUUGUAGGAAAAUCUUCGUCGGCCCAUUAACCUUCGGCCCAUUGUUGGCUUAAUUAUAAAAUGAUCAAAUUUCGGGAUCUUCAACCGAAAACAAAGAGACAAAACAGAAUUUGAAAUGCGUCUGCCUUGCCACCAAAAAUUCCUGUAGAGGAAUAUCAGAGCUGAAGGUAGAGUAUGCAUACAGAGGUGAGUGUGGAUACAGAAAAACCCCUUUUGCCUAACGAUAGAUUCCUCCAC